rnacentral:tRNA from 1 species
UUUCUAGGGGCUCAGUUGGUAGAAUGUUUGCCUUCACAUGCACAAGGCCCUGAGUUCAAUCCCCAGCACCAAAAAA